UACGGAGGGGGCUAGCGUUGUUCGGAAUUACUGGGCGUAAAGCGCACGUAGGCGGCUUUGUAAGUUAGAGGUGAAAGCCCGGAGCUCAACUCCGGAAUUGCCUUUAAGACUGCAUCGCUCGAAUCAUGGAGAGGUGAGUGGAAUUCCGAGUGUAGAGGUGAAAUUCGUAGAUAUCGGGAGGAACACCGGUGGCGAAGGCGGCGACCUGGGUAGAUACUGACGCUGAGGCGCGAAAGCGUGGGGAGCAAACAGG
rnacentral:rRNA from 1 species